GCCCACAAGACAGGGAUAACUACCGGAAACGGUAGCUAAUACCCGAUACAUCCUUUUCCUGCAUGGGAGAAGGAGGAAAGGCGGAGCAAUCUGUCACUUGUGGAUGGGCCUGCGGCGCAUUAGCUAGUUGGUGGGGUAAAGGCCUACCAAGGCGACGAUGCGUAGCCGACCUGAGAGGGUGAUCGGCCACACUGGGACUGAGACACGGCCCAGACUCCUACGGGAGGCAGCAGUAGGGAAUCUUCCGCAAUGGGCGAAAGCCUGACGGAGCAACGCCGCGUGAGUGAUGAAGGUUUUCGGAUCGUAAAGCUCUGUUGCCAGGGAAGAACGUCUUGUAGAGUAACUGCUACAAGAGUGACGGUACCUGAGAAGAAAGCCCCGGCUAACUACGUGCCAGCAGCCGCGGUAAUACGUAGGGGGCAAGCGUUGUCCGGAAUUAUUGGGCGUAAAGCGCGCGCAGGCGGCUCUUUAAGUCUGGUGUUUAAUCCCGAGGCUCAACUUCGGGUCGCACUGGAAACUGGAGAGCUUGAGUGCAGAAGAGGAGAGUGGAAUUCCACGUGUAGCGGUGAAAUGCGUAGAGAUGUGGAGGAACACCAGUGGCGAAAGCGACUCUCUGGGCUGUAACUGACGCUGA
rnacentral:rRNA from 1 species